UGUGCUAUCAGGGUGGUUAGGAAGUUGAAUUGUUAAUCGGAACACCAGUGUGGGCAGGAAUGACUGAAGGUUAACCACCGCACUGCAAUCUGUUGUCAUGUGUAUGUGUUCAUGUGUUAAUACCUCACUUUCACUUCCUUUCGUACUUUCUUUGUGUUGUGUGUGGGUGUGUUCAGCGUGGAACGAGACUCAUGGAACUCAAAACCCUGGUGAGUUCUGUCUCGUCUAUAUGAUAGAGACUCAAACACAUGAGUCAAUAACAUAAAUGAUGUGAUAAAACACUUUUAUUUGUGUAUAUGUAUAAUGUCUGUUGUUUGCACAAUAUGAAUGUUUUUGUUUUUAAUAUGAAGAAGAUUUGAAGGAAAUGACAUCAUCUGUCUCAGGUAAAAACACACAUGAAUGUCUGGAGGGUUUAAAUCAUUAUUCACAGUAUACAAACUAAAUCUGGUGUCUUUUGUGUCAAUGUUGGUGUAGAUGUGUUGCUUUGGAUCUUUGCUCCUUGUUUCAUCAUUGUUGUGCUGUUGGUCUGUUUCAUCAUCUUAAAAGGUCUCAUCUGUCGCUGUGCUGGUGUGAGGAGAGACAGAGAUGCUGAAGCUGCUGAGACUGAAUCUACACCGGAAGAAUGUGAAGACAUGGACACAAGCUGAUGACGAGUGUUGUUUUGACCAGUGUGGGUGCCGGUGGACAUUAAAGGUUCUGAGGCCGGCUCUACAAACGAUCGUUUGAAUGGGCGUGCUGCAUUGAAGACUUGGAAGUAAACACCCACUGCUAUGAUUGGAUAACAGUUUGCGUAGUAAACUUAGUUGGAGGCUUCUGUGAAUUUGGUUGGAGACGUCACGUUAGGUUACACAUUAGCACCAUUCACAGUUUUCGCAGGGCAUUAGUAUUAUCUGGAGACCUCCUGUGAUUUAUAAAUGACCUCCCCACAUCUGUAUUUCAUGUGACGCAUUCGCACGGGAUGAUUUGACUCAAAUUUACCGACUUAUUUCCCGGAUGUGAUGGCAAGGCUUUGCGUAUAGUUUGUAUAGCCUAUAGUUGUAUUGCGUUUAAUGAUAAAUGACCGUACCUGUCAGCAUUUGAGACCUGUGAUCACGAUCCAGAGAGACUCAAAUGCUACGAGAGUUUCCAUGAUAAAUAAACAAACGGGAGACUCCCGGUAAUUUAUGGAUAUCACCCAGCACCCGAAAUAAUACCAAAACACUUCAACACAGCCUCCAUUAUUCGCAAACGGUGGAUAAAACCUUGAAAAAUGAUAUAUGAGCUCGCCAAAUCACAGAGAUGGCGAUUCGCACUGGCUUAUGAUCACAGACCACCUCUUCAAUUAAUACAAAUGACUAGAGGUCCCCAGGUAAUAAUACUAAUCCCGUGGGAAUAGUGCUCAGGGCAUAUCAAGCGAUCUCUAACAAAGCAAUAGUGAGGCAUAGUACAAACAUGUUUUACUCACAUAAGAUUGCUGUGCCAUUCCUAUCGGAUCCAAUAUUGACGGCACAGCACUGCUUUUUCAUUUUAGUCUCUCCGCAAAUCCAGCGUGGACCUCUGCCUUGUUCACAAAGGAAUCCGCGGUGAAAUGAAGUGAACAAACGCUCAAUGAUAUAGCCACGUGAGCUGGAACGUCUUUCAAAAUAAACUUCAACCCCGCAUUGCUAAUGUGGGAAUCCGAAGGAAGGUUAUGCAGAGACUGUGUUCUUCCACAACCAGGCACUGCACAAUAUUUUGCGAUCUUUAACGGCAUGUUUAUUGCUUGCUCGCGUCAUCUAUAGUGGGCGGGGCUAGAGAAGUAGUCCUUGAUAGUCUUCUGUGGAGGCGGUGUUCAAUAGGUGCAUUCCAGGACCUGUUCGCUGGGUCUGGUGUCAAUAACAGUUGUUAUUUCAGUAACAAGGGCGUUUUCAGUUCUGACACUUACAGGAUGUUCGCUUGAAUACCAUUCCCUCUUAUAUAACAAAGUCUUCCCUCUUUUAAUUCAUGGCUCCUUUAAGCAGACAUAAGUCGUCCGGUCAGAGACAAAGUAUAUUUUAAUAUCUUGGUGCUUGAAAGUCUUUACAGUCCUUAGGUAGAUGAUUUAUAAGAGUGUUUUUGUAUAGGAACGCACUCUGUAAACAAUAAGAACGGAAGAACUUUCGCGCAGCUUGGUCAGGCGAGCUCUGAACUACGUUCUGUUAAUACUGUCAUCAACGUAAUGCCUUCUAGAGCCGAGAGAGGGCGCCAAUCUCUAACUGCGGUAUAGUAAAGUCCCCCUUUUCCACAAUGAUGAUGUUUUAUAUGGAGUCAAACUCAGGGAUCAGAAAUCAAAGAGUUUUUAAAGUUGUAAUGUUCUGCCAGUCAUGCAGCCCUUUUUUAUUUAAUCUCAUUUCACUAUUUUUCAUCUUUAUUAUUGGUGUCAAGUAUGUGGUGCAAGUAUUAUCUGACAGAUAUCUCUAUCACAUGUUGUGUUAUUCCGUUGUUGUCUUUUUACAAUGUUCACUAAUAUGGAUAUGAGCUUGUUUUUACAAUAUUUAAGAUUUGCAAAUAUAAUUUGUCCUGUUUCAGGUUUGUUUUUUACUUUUUCAUUUGGAAUUUAGGAGAAAUGCUGUCAGUCCACAAAAUGAUCAUCUUAAAC